CCUACGGGAGGCAGCAGUGGGGAAUAUUGCGCAAUGGGCGAAAGCCUGACGCAGCGACGCCGCGUGAGGGAUGAAGGUCUUCGGAUCGUAAACCUCUGUCAGCAGGGAAGAACGGUCACUGUGCUAAUCAGCAGUGAAUUGACGGUACCUGCACAGGAAGCACAGGCUAACUCCGUGCCAGCAGCCGCGGUAAUACGUAGGGGGCAAGCGUUAUCCUGAAUUACUGGGUGUAAAGGGAGCGUAGACGGUAAUGCAAGUCUGGAGUGAAAGGCGGUGGCCCAACCCCCGGACUGCUUUGGAAACGGUGUAACUGGAGUGCAGGAGAGGCAGGCGGAAUUCCUAGUGUAGCGGUGAAAUGCGUAGAUAUUAGGAGGAACACCAGUGGCGAAGGCGGCCUGCUGGACUGUAACUGACGUUGAGGCUCGAAAGCGUGGGGAGCAAACAGGAUUAGAUACCCUGGUAGUC
rnacentral:rRNA from 1 species